UACAUAGGUCUCAAGCGUUGUUCGGAUUCCUUGGGCGUACAGGGUGUGUAGGUGGCGCCGUAAGUCGGGUGUGAAAUUUCGGAGCUUAACUCCGAAACUGCAUUCGAUACUGCGGUGCUUGAGGACUGGAGAGGAGACUGGAAUUCAUGGUGUAGCAGUGAAAUGCGUAGAGAUCAUGAGGAAGACCAGUGGCGAAGGCGGGUCUCUGGACAGUUCCUGACACUGAGACACGAAGGCCAGGGGAGCAAACGGG
rnacentral:rRNA from 1 species